UGACGAAGCGACGCCGCGUGGAUGAAGAAGGCCUUCGGGUUGUAAAAUCCUGUCAGGAGUUAGGAAAUGUAAGUUUGAUAAUACCAAAUUUACUUGACAAAGGCUCCAAAGGAAGCCACGGCUAACUCUGUGCCAGCAGCCGCGGUAAUACAGAGGUGGCGAGCGUUGUUCGGAAUUAUUGGGCGUAAAGAGCACGUAGGUGGAUUUGUAAGUCAGAUGUGAAAGCCUUCUGUUCAACGGAAGAAUUGCAUCUGAAACUACAAACCUUGAGUAUAGGAGGGGAGAGUGGAACUUCUGGUGGAGCGGUGAAAUGCGUAGAUAUCAGAAGGAACGCCGGCGGCGAAAGCGACUCUCUGGCCUAUUACUGACACUGAGUGUGCGAAAGCUAGGGGAGCAAACGGGAUUAGAUACCCCGGUAGUCCUAGCCGUAAACGAUGGGCACUAAGUAGAGG
rnacentral:rRNA from 1 species